CCCUAAUAUUAAGUGAUUUAAUAAAAUUAGUAUACUUACUAGAAAUUUAAUGAAUUUGGCGGUUAACUUAGAAAUUAGAGGAACUUGUUUAUUUUAGAAUUAGCACUUUGAAUCUAAUUUAUUUAAUGUUUAUUUAUCUCCGUUUAAAGCUUAAAAAGAUUAUUUAGUAUUUCAGGUCAAGAUGUAGCUUUAAUAAAUAAUGAUUAGUUACAAUUUUAUAAAAGGAUGGAUAAGUUUAAUUAUAGAAAUUUUUAAAUUGAAUUUACUUGUAAUUCGUUUUACAAAAAAUAAAUGAAAGGAAUAGGUUAAUGUA
rnacentral:rRNA from 1 species